rnacentral:rRNA from 1 species
GAAUGCUGACAUAAGUAACGAUAAAGCGGGUGAAAAGCCCGCUCGCCGGAAGACCAAGGGUUCCUGUCCAACGUUAAUCGGGGCAGGGUGAGUCGACCCCUAAGGCGAGGCCGAAAGGCGUAGUCGAUGGGAAACGGGUUAAUAUUCCCGUACUUGGUGUUACUGCGAAGGGGGGACGGAGAAGGCUAUGUUGGCCGGGCGACGGUUGUCCCGGUUUAAGCGUGUAGGUGUGUGUUCCAGGUAAAUCCGGUUCACUUUAACACUGAGGCGUGACGACGAGGCACUACGGUGCUGAAGCAACAAAUGCCCUGCUUCCAGGAAAAGCCUCUAAGCAUCAGGUAACAUCAAAUCGUACCCCAAACCGACACAGGUGGUCAGGUAGAGAAUAC